rnacentral:misc_RNA from 1 species
AGGUUUCCGUAGGUGAACCUGCGGAAGGAUCAUUUGCAUCAUCUAUUGUGCUGGGUGGAAUGUCUGUGGCUGUGGCAAUUCGGGUUGCAGAUUGCAAUGCCGAUUGCACACAAGAAGGCUGCAACCUGCUCUGACUGAGCACUGCUGGCCUCACACUUGGUUUUGAAGUGUAGUGCAGUAGAGAUCUUUUUGCAGUGAACAAGAAAUCCAGUUGUGGAUGCCUUGGCUCAAGCAUCGAGAAAGGUUGCAGCGAAGUGUUUUAUUCAUAGUGACUUGCAAAACUCUGCGAAACAAUGGGUUGUUGAAUGUGCACAAUGCUUGUGGGACUUACCAGCAGCAUGUCUAUGUGAGUGUAUGCUCAUCGUAUGCAGGGGGGUGCAUUUAUGUGAAUGCACUGAACUGCUGUAUGCUUUAUCAAAAACCUUGUGCUUUGAUAUUGCCCUUUCGUUUGCAUGUGGUGUGGUAUAUUACCAAUGUCAUGUUGGCAGAGACAUGUGUGCUUGAUGCUCUACUGGCGCACCCCAUGACCAUGGCAUGCAUGCAUCAUGUUA